rnacentral:rRNA from 1 species
UGUAUCGUCUGGAGAUGAGCCUGCGGUCCAUUAGCUUGUUGGUAGGGUAAAGGCCUACCAAGGCGACGAUGGAUAGCCGGCCUGAGAGGGUGAUCGGCCACACUGGGACUGAGACACGGCCCAGACUCCUACGGGAGGCAGCAGCUAAGAAUCUUCCGCAAUGGGCGAAAGCCUGACGGAGCGACGCCGCGUGAACGAGGAAGGCCGAAAGGUUGUAAAGUUCUUUUCUUAGGGAAGAAUAAUGCAAGGAGUGGAAAGCUUUGCAGAUGACAUUAACUGAGGAAUAAGCCCCGGCCAAUUACGUGCCAGCAGCCUCGGUAAUACGUAUGGGGCGAGCGUUGUUCGGAAUUAUUGGGCGUAAAGGGCGUGUAGGCGGUUUUAUAAGCCUGGUGUGAAAUACCACAGCUCAACUGUGGAGACGCGCUGGGAACUGUAAGACUAGAGUUCAGGAGGGGAAGCUGGAAUUCCUGGUGUAGGGGUGAAAUCUGUAGAUAUCAGGAAGAACACCGAUGGCGAAGGCAAGCUUCUAGCCAUGGACUGACGCUGAGGCGCGAAAGCGUGGGGAGCGAACAGGAUUAGAUACCCUGGUAGUCCACGCUGUAAACGAUGUGCACUGGGUGUAGGGGGCGUUGAGCUCUCUGUGCCGUAGCUAACGCGUUAAGUGCACCGCCUGGGGAGUAUGCUCGCAAGGGUGAAACUCAAAGGAAUUGACGGGGGCCCGCACAAGCGGUGGAGCAUGUGGUUUAAUUCGAUACGCGAGGAACCUUACCAGGGCUUGACAUGUACUUGAAGGCUUAAGGGAUUAAGUUGACCCUUAGGGGACAGGUACACAGGUGCUGCAUGGCUGUCGUCAGCUCGUGUCGUGAGAUGUUGGGUUAAGUCCCGCAACGAGCGCAACCCUUACUGUCUGUUACCAGCAGGCCUUCGGGCGCUGGGGACUCAGGCAGAACUGCCGGUGACAAACCGGAGGAAGGUGGGGAUGACGUCAAAUCAUCAUGGCCCUUAUGUCCUGGGCUACACACGUGCUACAAUGGCAGGUACAAAGCGUUGCGAGACGGUGACGUCCUUAGCAAAUCGCAAAAAGCCUGUCUCAGUUCGGAUUGGAGUCUGAAACCCGACUCCAUGAAGUUGGAAUCGCUAGUAAUCGCGCAUCAGAAUGGCGCGGUGAAUAUGUUCCCGGGCCUUGUACACACCGCCCGUCACACCACCCGAGUUGGGGGUACCCGAAGUCGCUAGUC